CAGCAUGGACAUUCCUGACGUAACUUUACGUAACCCGGAAGUUCACUGACAGUCAGAAAUGCCUCAUCCCUGCGGUUUAUCUUUGGAUAUAAGCUAGCAGCUUGCCAAGAAGCUCGGGCCUUGGACAGACAGACACGCAGAGCUGACACACCUAUAGACGGAGACAGAGUCCAGCUGGCUUCCAUGGCAGCAGCAAAGGGAGCAGAUGUGCAAGGUGCUUUGAUCUAGAUCAAAGUGGGAAAGGUUUUCUACAUGUGGACCGUCAACAACUUCAGCGUCUGAGAGGAGACGGGAGAGAUCGACGACAAACUCGAACGAGAGCCAGAAGACGAAAGGUUUUUCGUCKGGGGAGAGGACUGCGGGCUUCAGAAAGUUCACGCUGAGGGACUUGGUCUUAGACGAGGCCAGCAGUCUGCUUCUUGAUGAAAAACUAACACUUUCCUGUGAGACUCUCCCUCUCUCUCUGUUGCUUAUCUGUGCUCCACGGAUGCCAGUGUGCGGGCGAGCGACUGUCCUGACCUUCUGCGAUGUUUGUGAGCGUUCCUUGGAGAGAAUGWGGAGAAGGAAUGGACGUCACUCAGUCAGACCUGCAUCCACCUGAUUAAGAGUGCGGCUGUGGAAACCAGACGACCUCACACCUCACGGAUGUUCGCUCCUUUUCUGCAGAAAAGMCACAUUUUAUUAUUUUUGCCCCUCUGCCAUGUCUCUGACAAAAAAAUAGCUGCUGCUAUGAGAGGCCAUCUCCAACUCUAGAUCCCACCAAUAUCCUGCUCACACUCCUUCCUCCUUUUGUGGUUCAGGAGUUCUCUCUAUUCUCUGUCUGUCACAUGGCAUCGCUGCAUCUCUGUUCUCCCUGCCUUCUAUUAUCCCUAAAUCUCCAGCUCUACCUCCUCUCCAUACUUUCCUCUUAUGUUGUAUUAUCUUUUUCUUUCUCUCUCUCUCUUUCUGUGUCUUUCUUUCCCUUUCAGGCUUACCCUCAAACCCCCAUCAGGAGCAAACAAGGCUCCUUGACAUUCAAUUUCUUGCUUGCCACGCACUUCUCUUUUGUAUGUYCCUCCCCUCCUUCUCCAGGACUCUUUUUGUGCCCGUUGAAUAGGUGGAUGGAUGUGGCAUUGAACAAAUUGCUGGGCAGACAGCUGAAAAGGGAGCGCAGCUAUUUUUUUUUCUUGUGCGUACCUCCCUUUUCCGAAGCUUAAACACCAAGGUCAGUUUGAGAGUAUUUCUGUACUUCACUUAAAAAGCAGUUUACUAAAACCAUUUAAAUGAUUGAUAAUCUUCCUAUUAARAUGCCUUCAUAUUAUGUUGUCCAUAUUCAAACAAACUAGAAUAAACCACAGAAACUGCA